AACGAACGUUGGCGGCGUGGAUUAGGCAUGCAAGUCGUACGAGUUUCAUCUGGGUAACUGGCUGAAAAAAGUGGCGAAAGGGGCAGUAAGGCAUGGAUAAUCUACCCUGAUGACCGGGAUAGCUGUCCCAACGGGCAGGUAAUACCGGAUGAGCUGGUGGGGCCGCAUGGUUCUGCCAGGAAAGGCGCCAGCCGUGUCGGGAGGAAUCCAUGUGAUAUUAGCUAGUUGGUGAGGUAAAGGCUCACCAAGGCGAAGAUGUCUAGCGGGUGUGAGAGCACGACCCGCGCCAUUGGCACUGAGACACUGGCCAGACUCCUACGGGAGGCUGCAGUCGAGGAUCUUCGGCAAUGGGCGAAAGCCUGACCGAGCGACGCCGCGUGAGCGAUGAAGGCCAUUAGGUUGUAAAGCUCUGUCGAGGGGGAACAAGCCGCAAGGUUGAGUGAUCCCUGGAGGAAGCACGGGCUAAGUUCGUG
rnacentral:rRNA from 1 species